UCAUAACUUGCUUGUGGUCAUACAGAAAACCAAUGGAACCAGAACACGUACCCAAGCUUACCUGAAGUCUAAGCUAUGCUCUUUCCCCUACAUUACGACAUCGUGAUAAAGAGACAGAAUCACAUUUUCUCUACCAGGCACAUGUCCAACGGCAAUUACCACAUGAGUAAUUUGGGUAUACAGUAGGAAAAAGCACUCACCCAAUGUCGUGGCACCUGUAUUGCAUGAGGUUUUCACUCAUUCUUUAAACAGAGAUUCCCUGAAAGUCUACAAUCCGCAAAGUAAAGAGAUGGCUGCUGACAUUUUUUCAGCAGGUUCACAAUGUGGUGAAGAAUUCCAUCACUAACAGUUUGAAGGACCUCAACUUCCAGGCUGGAAGUGAUACACUUCUCCCUCAUGAACACAAACAGCCCAGCCGUCUAAAUCUCCCGCUCGUCUUCCUCUUCAGAUUUGUGAGACUUUAAAUGUGAAGAUAUUUAUUUCUGUUCUGGAGGGCCAGUUUCUGAAUGCAGAAGGAAGAGAAGGAACAAACGAGAGCAGGCAGCAGGCAGAAGACAGCUUAGUCAUCUUGCCCUGUAUCCCAAAGGAGCUUCGAACCAGCAAGGUGCAAGCAGGAACAGAAAAAUGCUUCACAGACAGUAGUAAUCAAGCAAAAACUGAAAGAUUGGCAUAAAAAAACAAAUACUUUUUUUUUUUUUAAGUUACAGGCACAAUUUUCAGGGUGCCAGGAAGCACUUGAACAUGCCUUGGUAUCUUUAAAAGCAUUUUUCUAUUAUAGCCCAAGUGAAAACAACAGCUAAAAUAAAACAUUUAUAAUGAUCCCAA